ACGCUCGACACCUACAGGCAGCAGUGGGGAAUAUUGCACAAUGGGGGAAACCCUGAUGCAGCGACGCCGCGUGAAGGAAGAAGUAUCUCGGUAUGUAAACUUCUAUCAGCAGGGAAGAAAAUGACGGUACCUGACUAAGAAGCCCCGGCUAACUACGUGCCAUCAGCCGCGGUAAUCUGAGCGGGCUGGCAAGGC
rnacentral:rRNA from 1 species